rnacentral:rRNA from 1 species
AGUAUUAAAGGUCCUGCCUGCCCAGUGAAAUAUUUUAACGGCCGCGGUAUCCUAACCGUGCAAAGGUAGCGUAAUCACUUGUCUUCUAAAUAAAGACUAGUAUGAACGGCUAAAUGAGGACAAACCUGUCUCUUACGGCCAAUCAGUGAAACUGAUCUUCCAGUACAAAAGCUGGAAUAAACACAUAAGACGAGAAGACCCUGUGGAGCUUUAAACAACCGCUAACAAACACCCAUAAAGUGUUCCUAGCCCUAAGUUUUGAGUUGGGGCGACUUCGGAGUAAAACGAAACCUCCGAGCACAGAACCACCACUUCUCACCAAGGCAAACAAGCCAAAGUUACAAGCCGACCCAGUCAUACUGAUCAACGAACCAAGUUACCCCAGGGAUAACAGCGCUAUCUUCUUCAAGAGUCCCUAUCGACAAGAAGGUUUACGACCUCGAUGUUGGAUCAGGACACCCAAAUGGUGCAGCUGCUAUUAAAGGUUCGUUUGUUCAACGAUUAACAGUCCUACGUGAUCUGAGU